rnacentral:lncRNA from 1 species
GAGUAGACACUUCAACUAGAAUGUCUGGAAUACUCGUCGACAUGCGAUCCCAACUGUAGACGUAUAGGUCAGGUGAUGCCAUAACGCACAGUUCGCAGCUAGUCUAGUGGUUAUUUGUUGGGACAUUACUGGAAUGAGUCACGAUCAUCUGCCCUUGACCUGCUUCUAGACACCUUAUUUGGGGCGAUUUGCAUCUUGACAUGCUCCAAGAGCUAACUCACCAAGGUCGCUUACUACGCGAGUGCGCUCGUUAAAUCUACAACCUGUAGGGACAGGUAUUGAUUGCCAUUGGGGGUGGAACACAACAUAAGCCUCUUGCCCGUGGUUUGUGGCUGUAACUAUAGUGUAGGCUGCUGCUUGGUGGCUAUGUGGUAGCUGUUAGGCAAUGGCCACGUUGGUGGUGGUGGUGCUCCGUAGCAAUAGGGCUCCUCAUGUCGUUGUGUUCAGCCUCAAGGAUCGUCGACGCAAAGUCGUGUCUUGGUCUUUGUUCUCUUAUCCAAAUCCUUAAAUGUAGGGCGUUCCUCGUGGUUUAAAAUUUUUCUACCUUUGUAUCCUUUCUCCAAGGACUAAUAAAAAAACUUUAUUAAGAAAAAUGAAAUGACAGUGCGUGUGAGAAAUUCAAUGUUAUAAACAUUUCCAAAAACCAAUUGCGAGGGUCUUCUUCGAGUGUUUGAAUCACGCUAUCAAUGAAAACACCAAUUUGUGGUAGCAAAAAUCUUCCGUCUUCAAUCUUGACGAAUUUGUACCUACAAAACAAUCAACCCUUUUAAUCAAAGACCAAAGUCUCACACGCCCACGAGGUGAGGGAUUUGGCCAUGGAUUUUCGAUGCCUAAGUUAGUUUAUCUGAAAAGAGUAAGUGUUAAGGGAUUUUAGGGGUAGCCAAUGCUUACCAAAAUUUGGUGAAGAUGGAGGUAUUUAUAGGGAGGUGGCCAUAGGCUUAGGAUUUUGACUUACACAUGGCGGCUUUUCUUUGGCCAAGGUGUGUCAUCGGUAGGAUGGAUGAGAAAAGAAUAUUCCCAAUAUAUUAAUUAGGAGAAAAUAUCUUGAGAUAAUGGUGGAAGUAUCCUAAGAGCACUUCCAGCGUGGGAACCCCCCCAGGCAAUACACUAUGCUAUCCACCCAAUGAACAGUAACUACCCUUAAUGAACAAUAACCGCUUUUUGCAUCACCACCGUUGCACUUCAAUAACCCUGGCAAUAGGUAAAAAAAUAUUAGUAUUUUUUAUUUAUAAAAUAAUACAAAAUAAUUUAAUUUUUAAUUUCGAAUAAGAUUUUUAAUCGUUCUUGUUACGUCACAUGUCAUUAUUCGACUGAUGCGAAAAUUAACUUAACACACAAAUUAAACCCUCUUUUGACAAUUGUAGUAUAAGUAUAAGUAUAAGUAGGGAUUGUUCUGGACCGGGGAUUAGGAGGGCUUGCUAAUAACCUCUAAACUGGCUUAAAAACAUAUAAACAAAGUUAAAAACACUAAACUAGACUCAAAGAACUCAAAACAAGCUAAAAACACUCAAAUCUGCCUAAAAACACAAACUGGGUAGAUUUGGACUCUAAACACACUUUUGGACGAAUUUUGGUUUCAACUUAGUUCGAAAUACUUAAAAACACAAACUAAAUCAGUUUCUAACUAAUAUGACUCAACAAGGUAAAGGGGGUUUUGGUUUUGAUGAAUUUGACAAAACAAGUAAAUUAAAGAACUAACGAAAUCUGCACGAAUUUGAGUAAAUUGAAUGGAUGGAAUGCUAGCUAGGAGGUUCUUCUCCACACAUGACACACUUGCAAACAAAACGAUUUCCAGUUGCUUUUCAAUAAACUACGAAUUCUCAACACCCCAGAUUAACUGUGAAUUGCACUAAUUAACCCUCAGAUUUUCCUAAUUUCAUUGAAUUGGAUGAUUGCAUACAACAACCCAAAGCAUUCCCCACAAGUUCCCUACAUGAAUUGCAUAAUAGAGAUACAAGCAAGAAUCAUUAAGUUCUAUGAAAAUCAUAAGCAUUGACGAAACACUUGUAACUAUGAAUUGCAUGAAACUUAUGCCAAGAAUUUACUUAACACGGUUGUGACGAGUAACCUUCACUACUUGUGAAUAUAAGUUCAUAACGAUUAGGUGAAACUCCCUUAUAUCUUAGCAUCAGAUUUAUGCAUGAAAAUUAAGCGUGCACUCUCAACCAACAUACACAAAUCAGUUUUAAUUCAAAUGGAUAAGAAAAUUGAAUUCACAACUUAUGAAUCACAACUGAAAGUAAUCAAAUCAUAUUGCAAGCAUGAACAUGGUUUCGAAUUCCCCCCUAGCUAAGGGGGGUUUAGUUCCUCAUACUCACAAAGCAAAGAUAAACAAAUUUAGACAUUGAAAAUAAAAGAAUGAAAACACCUAAAAACGCUCCAACAAUCCAACUUGAAUGGCAAGCACGUCCAAGGGUCCUCCUUCUUCUCUUUGUUGUGGCACAAGUGUCUAGGAUGUGUAUGGAUAUAUGGAAAGGUUAGGAAUGUAUUUAGGAUUGGUGAAUGUCUCGGCCAAGGGAAGGAAAAUAUAUUUGUGUUUGUGAAAUGUGGGAUUUAUGGAUGUAUGGAUGGAAUGGAUCUCAUGGCAUGGAAAAUGGAAGUGUAUGGAGAUGUGUUUGAAUGUAUGGAUGAAAUGGAAUGGAGCUCACGGCAAGGGACUUGUGUUUGUGAAUGAAGCUUUUCUUUUUAUGGAUCAAGAUUGAUUUUAGGAAGGGGAAUGGUGAAUGUAUUUAUAGGCUAAGGAGAUGACCACUUUGAAGGAUGAUUUUGUGAAAACAUGUUCAUUUGAGCAACAUCAAUAGCAUGCAAUUAACAAUUAAAGGCGGAAACAUGCUUGCAUGCACUCAAAAACAAAAACAUUACCCAUGAAAUUCAAAGCCUAGUAGAUUGGUGAACCAAGACUCAACUCAAAACAAAGUGAGUUGAGAUUUAUACCUUUGUAGAUUCCUCUUUGCAUAAGCAAAGGCUAAUCACCCAAAGAGAGGGCCUUCAUUCCUUGCAUCUUAGACCCAUGGAUUUGGAUGGAUGAAAUGGUUCUUCAAGUUCUCAAAAUAGAGAACCUCUAAGUCUCCACACCAAGGUUAGAUUGGAGAAGAAAUGAGUGACCUUGGAGGAGUGGGAUUGUUAGCUAAUCCCUCCAAGGGGGCCGGCCUCUUUAGAGAGAAAUGAGAGCUUUGUGUUCUCUCCAAUUUCCUACAAGAAACCCUUAAUGAAUUUUAGGCUAUAAAGUUCUUUAUAUAGUCACUUCUUUAAAUGACCUAAAGAACCAAAAACCCUAAUUCAACACACAUGGCCGGCCACAUAAGGGAUUUGGGCUUUUGGGCCUUUGUGAAUCUUUAUUCAUUAAAUUGUCAUACAACUUAAGCCAAUGGGCUUGAUGUUCGAAGCCCAUUGGGCCUUAAGGUCCAAAACUAUCCCGAGGUCUUUAACGAACUUAUUCGUUUGAUUAAUUACCAUAUUAAUUAAUCCUUGCCAUAAAUAAUUAAACCAUUUAAUUAUUCUUACUCAUCUCCAUUGUUUGUUCAAUCUCCACCUUACACGGUGUACAAUCCAUUAGAUUCCUUUUAGCGAGGCAGUGAGCGAUUAAAACUCUUUCAAAUCGAUUGUGAAUUGAAACUUACUUUCAAUUAUCCCUUUAGUGUUUAUACACGUUUAGGGCUUCCACAAACCAUGAGUGACACCUAGCAGCAUAUCAUGGUUACCCAAGCUAAUCAGAAGAGGUAGAGAACCUAUUCAGUUUAGGAUUACAAAUGCAAUACGGUCUUUCUCUAAUACAAUACUCUUGACCACAUUGUUUGGUUUGAUAGUUUAUUCAUGUCUACUAUCCAAUGUGAUUCGUGUGCUCAUAUGAUUACCUUGAAUGUGAUUUGGAACGACUUUCCUAAAUCUCAUUCAUACUCUGGCCAGAGAUUCUUAAUCAUAUCAAAGAGUAUUCUCCCUCAAACGGUUUGAAGGUUAGAGAUCCCUUGUUGCGCAUUCACUUGCCUCCAUAGCUA